rnacentral:rRNA from 1 species
CGUGUAGGCGGCUUGGUAAGUCAGAUGUGAAAGCCCAGGGCUCAACCCUGGAAGUGCAUUUGAUACUGCCGAGCUUGAGUAUGGGAGAGGAGAGCGGAAUUCCCAGUGUAGAGGUGAAAUUCGUAGAUAUUGGGAGGAACACCCGUGGCGAAGGCGGCUCUCUGGACCAAUACUGACGCUGAGACGCGAAAGCGUGGGGAGCAAACAGGAUUAGAUACCCUGGUAGUC